UUUAUGGAGAGUUUGAUCCUGGCUCAGGAUGAACGCUGGCGGCGUGCCUAAUACAUGCAAGUCGAGCAAACGGACGAGAAGCUUGCUUCUCUGAUGUUAGCGGCGGACGGGUGAGUAACACGUGGAUAACCUACCUAUAAGACUGGGAUAACUUCGGGAAACCGGAGCUAAUACCGGAUAAUAUUUUGAACCGCAUGGUUCGAAAGUGAAAGACGGUCUUGCUGUCACUUAUAGAUGGAUCCGCGCUGCAUUAGCUAGUUGGUAAGGUAACGGCUUACCAAGGCAACGAUGCAUAGCCGACCUGAGAGGGUGAUCGGCCACACUGGAACUGAGACACGGUCCAGACUCCUACGGGAGGCAGCAGUA
rnacentral:rRNA from 1 species